GGGGAGGCAAGAGUAUUUCAUCUGGAGUUUCCUGGAUAACUGAGGCCUUCUGAAGAAUGCCUGCAUCUGAAAAUCAAUUGCAUCUCCUGCUGUUUGGAGAGGGUGUUCCUGUCCUUGCAUCUCGCUGCAGAUCCAGCACUCUGCAUUGACAACUGAACACCGAUGCACUGCUGCAGCUGCUUUUACAGAUACUCCACUCAAUUCUGCUUUCUGGGCAGCAGCAGUCUGAUACUAGACUGAAUUAGAAUAACUUUCAUCCCCUUGCAUCAGGACUGCAUUUACACUCUUGACUACAGUUCUGCUUCAGAGAUUUCAGAGAUAAGCCUUCUGGGUCUCCAGGGUGCUCAGUACACUGAACUCUCUCCUGGGAUCAUGCCCAAGAAGGGAGAUCAAUCUUCUACGUGAUUGACUUGCUCCUGAGAAGAGCUGCGUGUCAAGUAUAUUCUCAGAAUAAUUUGUGAUAUGUGAAUCCUUCUGCAAUCCAGGGCUGGAUGAUGCUCACACACCUGUCAACUACAAAAACCUUCAACUACUUUCCUCCUUACCUGCAUGUUUGGCAGGUGUUCGUGCUGAUUUCCUGAGCCAUUCAGUCCGUUUGCUGAAACAGUCCUGGCAACAAAUUACCUGGGCAUCUUUCCUUUGCUGGACACGGUGUUUGAGAGCCUCUUUUUUUUUAUGAAAAGGAAUGCAUAGAACUUUGGAAAAAAAAAUUAAAAAAUGAAGGAUUUACUCUGUGGGAGUGAAAGAUGGAAGCAAACUGGAGAAAGGCUCGGAGGACUACUCGCUGGACACAGCAUCGUUGUGAUGGUGGUUUCCAGUGGGAAAUUCCACACCACCCACCUUGCCUUGGACAGACUGGAUGAGAAGAAAGUCCUGUGGUGGUGGUGAUUCUCACUCUACAAAACAGCAGCAAGCAAGGGAAUCCAUCAAGCUAUUAGUCAUGUACUGUAUAUUUAGUAUCUUUUAUGCAAAUUUUAUAUAAAUAUAUAUAUUACUCACACCAUCUGUAUAAAGCAUCAUCCAGAUCAGGUUUCAUAAUAAUUGGAAAAGUAGCUAAUAGGAUACAAAGGUAUAUCCAGUAUAAAUUGGCCAAGAAGGUAAUUGUGCUAAUAUGUAUUUAGCUUUUUUGAAAGAUACUAGGCUAAGUAUGGCUAGAAAGUAGAUUGUACCUCUUUAAAUGAGACUCCGUUCUUUGUAGCCUUGCAAAGACUAGAGGGUAUUUUUAUUCAUCCUUAAGUGGUGCUUGUUAAAAAGAAGUGAACUAAAUGGUAUUUUGGGAUGUAGCAUUUUCUUUAAAUACAUUCCUUGUAGGUGGAAUAGCGCAAUUUUUUUGUACCAUAGAUGCUCAAGCCCCUUUAAUGUAUCUUUGUGUUCAUUGUUUGUGUGCAAGACCAUAAGGUGAUAGCAUCAUAACAAGCUGCUGUAAAAAAGAAUGCUUGAUUUUUAGUGCUUCCUAAAAUGCAGAGUGAGAUCAUGCUGCAAACGUUGGGAAUAUAGAACUGUGAUAAUCUGAUUGAGAAAAAAGCCAGAGGAAGUUUGAUUAUGACCACUUCUGAGGUGUUUAAUACUCUGUGUAUCCAAGGAAUUUAAAACCUUCUGUAAAUGCAGCCUGUAUCUUCAAAUAUAAAGCAUAGGCUUAGCCUCUUAUCAGUGAGAUUUAAGUCUUGAAGGACCAGAUCUUCAAGUGUACUGGGAUUGUGGGCGAGAUCCAACUUAGUGCUUAAAAGUGUUUCCAACAUGCGCAAUAAACUUCUGAAAAGUAGCAAAGAAUAUGGGAUUUGAAUGCUGGUAGAGCAGUGUCUUUGCUGCAGUUUGGAAGAGAGAUGGUGACUUGGUUUUACGUGAGAACUCUCUGGGCUAAACUAAUAUAUGGUGUAACACUGUCAGUGUUAGUGUGUAAAAUUAGUAAAGCAGUCUUCAGGAUUAAUUCAGUUACAGCAAUUACUUAGAGGAUUUUAUGCCCAUAAAUGUAUUUUGGGAGCCAAGUUUUAUGUACUUUGUUAGAAUUGGACUGUUUAUACUUCUGUGUUUAUUUGAUGGUAAUUUACUUAAAUAUUGAAGCACUAUUGCAAUUUGAGACCAAUUGGAAAUUAGCCCCUAGUAUCAUAAUCAACAAAAACUGAAGAUUUUUUCAGAGCAGAACUAUUUUUCCAAUCCCCUUGAGGAAAGAGAGGCAAUAUUCUGUAAGCAAGGCAGUCUCUCAGUCGGUUUUCUCCACAGGGUUUUCCAGGAACCGCGAAUGUGUCUUCAGUAAUCAGAUGUGUGUCAAUUAGUCCUGAACCGUGCUCAAUAUGUUAUCAGUGUUCAAAAAGGAGGUAGCAGAACUUGUUUCUGAGGAAGGAGGUGCAACUUUGAUUUGUAUUUUAAGCUCUUCCCUAUAGUGCUUGGGCAGAAGCAAGGUUUGAGGACAAGUAUGAGCACAAAUUUGAAUGUAAGAUAGGCUUAAAAAAAAAAAAAUUCCUUGAGAAACAAAACUUCCUUGAAAUCCAUUCAAAAUGUACCAUCAUCAGAUAUAUAUAGAAUUGACUAUCCAUUCACUUUGAUAUUUUUUUCCCCUCUAAAUUAACUACAGUCAUUAGUAUGUUUCCCUAAGUGGUCCCUCACUGACACAUAAUUCUUCCCAGCUGAUUUUAUUUAAAAUGCAACUUCUAUUUCCCCAACGUCUAUUCAGAUGAUGUAAUACUUGUUCUGGAGGAUAUUUCUUAGAGUAAGGGAGAAAAUUCCUCUCAGUACUCCUCCCUUGCUGAAGUUUCCUGCUUUUUUCUGCCAUCAGCUGCCUGUACACUGAGGAUUUCUGUGGGACCAAAAAAUGGGGUUAUCUAGCAGCUUCCCCUGAAUGCAAGACUGCUGCCUGGCCAGAGCAUAGCCCUCACCCAGGGGUUUCUGUGCUCCACACCUGGCAUUAAUGAUAAAGAUUGUACCUGAAACAGCUGCUGUCAUGCCACAUAAUGCAAAGUCAUUGUCUGGUGUAAUUAAAAUGGUUGUUAAAGUGAGUUGGACCAUGACUAUCUGUGUACUGGUACUUUUUAGGUGAGCUGUACCACCUCUGAAGUAACUUGUGUUGAGCCAUAGCUUGGCCCCAUGAUUCAGUGCUAAUCCCCCACUGUGGCCGCUCUGGAAUCCCAUUAGUGAAAGAGAGCCCUGUUCCUUCCCGCCUUAACCUUGCUUGAUAGUCAAACACUGAGUGCUUCAGACCAGGGCUUGAAAUAUUGAUGUAGGAGAAAGUGUGCAGGCCGCCUUGGUCAAACCCCGUGCAAGCUUUACUCAGCUGCUUUUGUGCGUGUGGGCGGGUGAGGGAAGCGAGAAGGUCAGCAUGACUGGCUGCCUUUUUUGGGGGGAAGUUUCUUACUUUUGACACAUCAUGUAGGAGAUUUGCUGGGAUGAGAUGACUCAUGACUUUGUGAAAGCAAUACCCAAAUGCCAUCAUCUGCCGUUGAUGUCUUGUGCCGUAUUGGCUUAAGCAGACCAUGGGCCCUGCCUACGUGCUGUUCGGGAGGGCUGCUCACGCACUCCUGGGGCUCUGUGCCCAUUGCACAUGAUAGCGGUUUCAGUCAAAACUAACUCAUGGGGAACAGAGAAAACCGACGAUGCAAAUAAUGUUCUUGAGUCUUUCAUUGAUAUUCAUGCGUUCUGAGUGGUCUCUCUUUCUCUUCAAAUCUCUCCCUCAAGGCCAUUUUUGUUCAUGCCUUAGUGAUGUCAAACUUGUGGUCUGUGCAUUCUUCAGCAAUUCCUUGAAAAUAAAUCUCCCUGAUGCAUUGGCUUGAUACAAACUGAUCUUAGCAGCCUUGGGGCUGCAUGUGAUCCUUUGGAGCCAUGGGGAAAGGGGCUGUGCAUUCGUACCAUCUCUUGCAGAGAGCCAAGCUGUGUGGGAAGCUCUC